UACGAAGGGUGCAAGCGUUAAUCGGAAUUACUGGGCGUAAAGGGCGCGUAGGCGGCCUGCUAAGUCGAACGUGAAAUCCCUGGGCUCAACCCAGGAACUGCGUCCGAUACUGGUUGGCUUGAAUCCGGGAGAGGGACGUGGAAUUCCAGGUGUAGCGGUGAAAUGCGUAGAUAUCUGGAGGAACACCGGUGGCGAAGGCGACGUCCUGGACCGGCAUUGACGCUGAGGCGCGAAAGCCAGGGGAGCAAACGGG
rnacentral:rRNA from 1 species